GAUGAACGCUGGCGGCGUGCCUAAUACAUGCAAGUCGAGCGAACAGAUGAGGAGCUUGCUCCUCUGACUUUAGCGCCGGACGGGUGAGUAACACGUGGAUAACCUACCUCUAAGACUGGGAUAACUUCGGGAAACCGGAGCUAAUACCGGAUAAUAUAUUGAACCGCAUGGUUCAAUAGUUAAAGACGGUUUUGCUGUCACUUAUAGAUGGAUCCGCGCCGCAUCAGUUAGUUGGUAAGGUAACGGCUUACCAACGCAACGAUGCGUAGACGACCUGAGAGGGUGAACGGCCAGACUGGCAGUGAGACAGGGUCCAGACUCCUGCGGGAAGCAGCAGUAGGGAAUCUUCCGCAAGGGGGCAAAGCCGGACGGAGGAACGCCGCGGGAGUGAUGAAGGUCUUCGGAUCGGAAAACGCUGUUAGUAGUAAAGUACAAAUGUGUAAGUAACUAGGAACGUCUUGACGGUACCUGAUCAGAAAGCCACGGCUAACUACGUG
rnacentral:rRNA from 1 species